rnacentral:rRNA from 1 species
AGGGUUUGAUCAUGGCUCAGGACGAACGCUGGCGGCGUGCCUAACACAUGCAAGUCGAACGAGAUCCAACGUGGAGCAAUCCACGGGAAGAUCGAGUGGCGAACGGGUGAGAAACACGUGAGAAACCUGCCCCGGACUUUGGGAUAACACGCGGAAACGCGUGCUAAUACCGAAUGCCGUCGGCGGAUCGCAUGAUCCGCUGACGAAAGGGAUUCCGGUUCGGGAGGGUCUCGCGGCCUAUCAGCUAGUUGGCGGGGUAACGGCCCACCAAGGCAGCGACGGGUAGCUGGUCUGAGAGGAUGAUCAGCCACACUGGGACUGAGACACGGCCCAGACUCCUACGGGAGGCAGCAGUGGGGAAUCUUGCGCAAUGGGCGAAAGCCUGACGCAGCAACGCCGCGUGCGGGAAGAAGGCCUUCGGGCUGUAAACCGCUUUCAGCAGGGACGAAACUGACGGUACCUGUAGAAGAAGGAGCGGCCAACUAUGUGCCAGCAGCCGCGGUGACACAUAGGCUCCGAGCGUUGUCCGGAUUCAUUGGGCGUAAAGAGCUCGUAGGUCGUUUGUCGCGUCGAUUGUGAAAAUCUGAGGCUCAACCUCAGACCUGCAGUCGAUACGGGCAAACUAGAGUGUGGUAGGGGAGACUGGAAUUCCUGGUGUAGCGGUGGAAUGCGCAGAUAUCAGGAGGAACACCAAUGGCGAAGGCAGGUCUCUGGGCCAUAACUGACACUGAGGAGCGAAAGCGCGGGGAGCGAACAGGAUUAGAUACCCUGGUAGUCCGCGCCGUAAACGGUGGGCACUAGCUGUGGGUCCCUUCCACGGGAUCCGCGACGCAGCAAACGCAUUAAGUGCCCCGCCUGGGGAGUACGAUCGCAAGAUUAAAACUCAAAGGAAUUGACGGGGCCCCGCACAAGCAGCGGAGCAUGCGGCUUAAUUCGACGCAACGCGAAGAACCUUACCAAGGCUUGACAUAUAGCGAAAAGUGGCAGAGAUGUCAUGUCCGCAAGGGCGCUAUACAGGUGGUGCAUGGUUGUCGUCAGCUCGUGUCGUGAGAUGUUGGGUUAAGUCCCGCAACGAGCGCAACCCCUACUUUUAGUUGCCAUCAGGUCAUGCUGGGCACUCUGAAAGAACUGCCAGUGAUAAGCUGGAGGAAGGUGGGGAUGACGUCAAGUCCUCAUGGCCCUUACGGGUUGGGCUACACACGUGCUACAAUGGUAGUGACAAUGAGAUGCAAGGUGGCGACGCUAAGCUAAACUCAAAAAUCUACCUCAGUUCGGAUUGCACUCUGCAACUCGAGUGCAUGAAGCUGGAAUCGCUAGUAAUCGUAGAUCAGCGUGCUACGGUGAAUACGUUCCCGGGUCUUGUACACACCGCCCGUCACACCAUGGAAGUUGGUUCUACCUUAAAGCAGAUUGCUAACCGCAAGGAGGCGUUUGACCAAGGUAUAGUCAGCGACUGGGGUGAAGUCAUAACAAGGUAGCCGUA